UAUCUGAUCCGUUAACAGUGUAGCUGUUUUACAGCAGCUGUUAUAAAAAGCAUCACAUUGUCAAGCCCAUUAAAUUGUUGCUUCUUGCAGGAUUUUUUUUCAUAGCUCGCUUUACCAAUAAUAAUAAUUUUGCAUUGUGUAGAAACACGCUACUUAAAAGGUCUCUGAGCCCUUGCCACAAAGACGGCCGGAGGGGGUGGCGUCAGACCAGAGCCAGGAAAUAAACAACAGAGAGGUGUGGUUUGGUGGAGCUGAGCGAAUGGUUUCAGAACAGAAAAUAAAAAGGCUGUAAACAUACAAAAACACAGGACACGGCACUUCACGCCAAAAUAAACAGACAAACAAAAACGGACUAACAUUUAAACAAACGGUGGAUGAACAGACAAACAAACACGAUUCCACGUGUCCUACAAACAGGUCUGUGAAGUUCUUAUCCGGUUGGUGAAGAAGGAACAGCGGAGAUGAAUCCCGCAGCGCUCUCGAUUCUUCUCCUGUCUGCCGCGGCAUUGCUGGAGCUUCCACAGAUAAAAUGUGAGAACCCAAUACCAAUGGACAUGGCUGAAGAUGCCCUUGAUUAUCAAUAUCGCGGCUGUAGAGAUGAAAUUGAAAAGAAAUUUAACCGUGAAUAUAUUCUUAGAGAAUUAUGUGAAUACCGAGAAUACCCAAAACUACGUGAGGCAUGGGAAGAAGCAGAAGAAAGAAUGAAGAAGCUAAACUCUAAGGAAUUGAGUCUUCUCCAAGCCACGGCAAUCCAUGUUUACACUAUGGACAGUAAGCAUAAUCACAGCGCCACGUUAAACGAAAAAGUCAAAACAGGAAGAAAAAAUUACAGCAGCUUUCCAUUCAAGGCGUGGCAUUUUCAUUUGACAGACGCCCUGAUAAGACUGA